GCGGGAUGAGCUCAAAUUUGUAAUCUGGCGGCCUCUGGUCGUCCGAGUUGUAGUCUGGAGAAGCGUUUUCCGCGUCGGACCGUGUACAAGUCCCUUGGAACAGGGCGUCGUAGAGGGUGAGAAUCCCGUCUUUGACACGGACUGCCGAUGCUUUGUGAUGCGCUCUCGAAGAGUCGAGUUGUUUGGGAAUGCAGCUCAAAACGGGUGGUAAAUUCCAUCUAAAGCUAAAUAUGGGCGAAAGACCGAUAGCGAACAAGUACCGUGAGGGAAAGAUGAAAAGCACUUUGGAAAGAGAGUUAAACAGUACGUGAAAUUGUUGAAAGGGAAACGCUUGAAGUCAGUCGCGUCUCCUGGGACUCAGCCUUGCUUCUGCUUGGUGUACUUCCUGGGACGACGGGCCAGCAUCGAUUUUGAUCGUCGGAGAAAGGCCUUGGGAACGUGGCACCUUUGGGUGUGUUAUAGCCCUUGGUCGUAUGCGACGGUUGGGAUCGAGGACCGCAGCACGCCUUUUUGGCCGGGGUUCGCCCACGUACGUGCUUAGGAUGCUGGCGUAAUGGCUUUAAGCGACCCGUCUUGAAACACGGACCAAGGAGUCUAACAUGCCUGCGAGUGUUUGGGUGGUAAACCCGGACGCGAAAUGAAAGUGAAAAGUUGGGACCUCUGUCGUGGAGGGCACCGACGCCCGGACCAGACCUUCUGUGACGGUUCCGAGGUAGAGCAUGCAUGCUGGGACCCGAAAGAUGGUGAACUAUGCUUGAGUAGGGUGAAGCCAGAGGAAACUCUGGU
rnacentral:rRNA from 1 species